rnacentral:rRNA from 1 species
UACGGGGGAGCAAGCGUUGUUCGGAUUUACUGGGCGUAAAGGGCGCGUAGGCGGCCACCGCAAGUCGACUGUGAAAUCUCCGGGCUUAACCCGGAAAGGUCAGCUGAUACUGCGGGGCUAGAGUGCAGAAGGGGCAACUGGAAUUCUCGGUGUAGCGGUGAAAUGCGUAGAUAUCGAGAGGAACACCUGCGGCGAAGGCGGGUUGCUGGGCUGACACUGACGCUGAACGUGCGAAAGCUAGGGGAGCGAACGGG